GACGAACGCUGGCGGCGUGCUUAACACAUGCAAGUCGAACGGUAAGGCCCUUCGGGGUACACGAGUGGCGAACGGGUGAGUAACACGUGGGUGAUCUGCCCUGCACUUCGGGAUAAGCCUGGGAAACUGGGUCUAAUACCGGAUAGGACCCUGGGAUGCAUGUCCUGGGGUGGAAAGCUUUUGCGGUGUUAUAUUUUCUCUAUUCAUUUAAUAUUUUUGGUGGGGUGAUGGCCUACCAAGGCGACGACGGGUAGCCGGCCGGAGAGGGUGACCGGCCACACUGGGACUGAGAUACGGCCCAGACUCCUACGGGAGGCAGCAGUGGGGAAUAUUGCACAAUGGGCGCAAGCCUGAUGCAGCGACGCCGCGUGAGGGAUGACGGCCUUCGGGUUGUAAACCUCUUUCAACAACGACGAAGCGCAAGUGACGGUAGGUGCAGAAGAAGGACCGGCCAACUACGUGCCAGCAGCCGCGGUAA
rnacentral:rRNA from 1 species